rnacentral:lncRNA from 1 species
GGACCGUGAGGUCAAGCUUAUAUGAAGAUAAUUCCUCAAUAAAAAAUAAAUAUCGUUAUAAAAUAAACAGAUUGGAAGAUCAGAAGCUGCCCUUUGCCUCGACCUCACGACUCUCCUUUCUCUUGAUCAGCCAAACCUAAAAAAUGAUAGGCAUGCAGCGAUGCCCCUCCAUAGAUAUCUCCAGACUAUCUCCUUCCGUGAGCUAAAGAAAAUAAAUUGCGCCUUCAGAUUUGAUCCCGUAGCCGCAAUUCACCUCUAUUCCCUUGGUUUCCAGUAAUUAUUGUUUCUCUUCUGUUGAUUCUAGCACAAGAGGUGUAAGGGUUAUCUUCCCCAAUCUUCAUCUAUGGAUCCGCGGCUUCUUACAUCACAAAUAUCGAUGGACAUGCCUAGGGCAUCAGUUUCAUGUAAUUAAACCCAUACAAGGUUAGUUUGUUUAGUUUGGCUGAUGCAUGUGUUGGCAAGGCAGAUAGAAACUGAUGCAUGAUCAUGAACAUAGGAUCCAGACUCCAGAGACGGCAGCGAGGUCGAUCCGGCAGGAAAACAUGCAUCUCACGAAUCCUCCUCAGAUUGAUUCGGCAGCAAUGCGGAGAUGCCUUAUCUUCUUCCCAUAGACGUUAGCCUCUCCAGUCUCCACUAUGUGUUGAUUUUAUAUGGGGAAAAGUGAGAUUGGGAAGCACACAGGUUAAAUUUCCAUCGGCUGCAACAUUGGAAGGCGAAUUUUAACACGGGACCAUCAGCUAUGCCAUCUGCUAUGAUGUACUGAGCUCUACAUGUUUUCUAUUAGAGGUAAAAAUGACUCAUUGCCGCUUCAAGUGUUCAUAUAAAUUUGUAUAUGGACGUGUUGUUUUAUCUAUCUAACUAGGGUUUUUAUUUCAAACUCUUCUUUCCAUAUCUUUUCUGAACCGCUUUUAUGAUUUUGUAAGAUCUUCGCGGGAACAAGAAUCUCUGCUGCUUGGUGAAGUGUUGGUGGCAGCAGAAAUCAUUGAAGGGGGCACCAGUGUCUUUGAUUCGACGGGUAGAGAAGAUGUGGAUUCAUGCCAAAGGUUGCAACGGAACUUGGAGUAUGAUGCAACCAAGGACUGGCUACAGCCAUAGUAUACAUAAUGUAAGUCGUUCUUAGGAUGCAUGUAGUUUCUACUGUUAUAUUCAUCCACCGAUCCGUAAUAUUCAAUUGCUCCGUGGAACUUGCACAACUGUGUGUCGAACAUGUUUUCAUGAUUUUUUUUUUACUUUCAGGAAUUACGUCAACUCCAACAUCACAGAUGGAAAAAGGAGUGCAGAUUGGCACGGACGGAAUAAGCUGGAAAUAGUCCGCUGCCACCACCCAACUACUGCAGACUAAAAUAGAUACUUGUGAGUACUGAGUACGUGAGAAAAAUGUAGGCUAUUGAAUAGUACAAACACCAGCCAUAGUUCGGAGUACAUAUAUUGCAUCGACAGGUAUAAGUUCUUAAUUUAUAUCUGACUAGAGCUAUAAUAUGGUUAAGUAGUUCUCUGUACUAGGGAGUUGGAUAAAUAUUGUAGAUGUUGUAUUCUGAUGUACAAAUACACACAAACCCAUAGUUAUUUAUAUAACGAUUAAAUGGAA